CCUACGGGCGGCAGCAGUGGGGAAUAUUGCGCAAUGGGCGAAAGCCUGACGCAGCGACGCCGCGUGAGGGAUGAAGGUCUUCGGAUCGUAAACCUCUGUCAGCAGGGAAGAACGGUCACUGUGCUAAUCAGCAGUGCAUUGACGGUACCUGCAAAGGUAGCACCGGCUAACUCCGUGCCAGCAGCCGCGGUAAUAUGGAGGGUGCGAGCGUUAAUCGGAAUUACUGGGCGGAAAGCGCUCGUAGGCGGUAUGUCAAGUCAGCGGUGAAAUCCCCGGGCUCAACGUGGGAACUGCCUUUGAAACUGGCAAACUGGAGUGUGUGAGAGGAUAGUGGAAUUCCAGGUGUAGGAGUGAAAUGCGUAGAUAUCUGGAAGAACAUCAGUGGCGAAGGCGACUAUCUGGGACAUAACUGACGCUGAGGAGCGAAAGCGUGGGUAGCAAACAGGAUUAGAUACCCCUGUAGUC
rnacentral:rRNA from 1 species